CAGCCCCGCGGGAAUACGUAGGGUGCAAGCGUUAAUCGGAAUUACUGGGCGUAAAGCGUGCGCAGGCGGUUAUAUAAGACAGAUGUGAAAUCCCCGGGCUCAACCUGGGAACUGCAUUUGUGACUGUAUAGCUAGAGUACGGCAGAGGGGGAUGGAAUUCCGCGUGUAGCAGUGAAAUGCGUAGAUAUGCGGAGGAACACCGAUGGCGAAGGCAAUCCCCUGGGCCUGUACUGACGCUCAUGCACGAAAGCGUGGGGAGCAAACAGGAUUAGAUACCGUGUAGUCCCUGUCUCUUAUACAC
rnacentral:rRNA from 1 species